AUCUAUUUAAUAUGAAAAUAUAUAAAUAUAGAUUAACAGUCGUCGGAUUGCCGCUGCUACUGUCACUGCUAUAUGCAGUCUCACAGUUGGUGACGUUGGAUCGCCGGCUGAUCAACAAGAUCAUUAUAUUGUCAUUAAGGUCAAAAAAUCGAUGUAUGUUGUUCAAAUGCAAUUAAAAACUUUUAGAAACAUUUAACUCUCACAAAUCCGAAAAAAUAUCAAAGUUUUUGGCUAGAUGAGUUCACCCAUUAUAAAGAGCAUGAGUUUUUUUUUUUUUUUUUUUUUUUUUUUAUCAUUUUCAUAUCAUUCAUGAGCUUACAUGAGACACUGCGCAGCGGCCGGCUGCAAGUAUGGGGGCCGGCUACAAUUGCUUUUUUUUGUUCUUUAAAUAAAAAUUUAAAAUUAUAA
rnacentral:lncRNA from 1 species